rnacentral:snoRNA from 1 species
UUGUAUUUGAUUGUAGAUAGAGUGUAGAUUUUUAUCUAUGGUUCCUCUGUUUAUAGACAACAAUGCGUAGAUUAAAAGCCUAAUUUUUUUUUUUUAAACUUAGGCAGCGGCCAGACAACCGUAGAGAUGGUUUCCACAGAUGAACAGUUUUUGACAUCUGUUUGUCUACUAAAAUCUAUCUCACAUUG